rnacentral:tRNA from 2 species
AUUUCCCAAGUACUGCCGUACACGCGACUUCCAAUCACGGGGCCCCGAAUAAAGCCGGGGGGAAAUA